UGGGUGACUACAGAGCGCUUGGUAGAAUGGGAUUGGUCCAUUGCGUGGUUGAUUGAUGUUACCAUAAAUACACUACGCGGGUUGGAAGUGCACUGUGGAGCAACGCAGCUGUUUAAGAGUGUGUAGUAAAAUGAAAGUCAUGCAUUAAGAACAUUGUUAAUAAAUUGCUGGACAGUUUAGAGUCACUUGGCGUAACAGAAAAGUUAGGCACAUGUACGAUGAAUUUUAUAUAUCAAGAUACUGAUUUGACUACGUAGUCAGUGGUCCUCUCCACAACAAACAUUGCAGCAGCGAGUUAAACUACUGCUGCGCCACACUACUGCCUGCGAGAAUUUUUAGAAGAAUUGUCGUUGUAGUGAAAGACGAAGGACGUUCGUGACACGACUGAAGAGUGGGGAUACAGUUUAAAAAAAAAAAAAAAAGAGUGUUUCGUACUCGUGAAGAAGCCUGUUCUCAGCUAUGAUGGGAAUGAAGUAGUCGAUAGAUUAUGGCAUAAAAUGAUCAUGUCAUUGCAGGCAGUUGCUCAUUCAAAGGCCAUGGAUGCUUCCUUUCAAAUUCCAGGACUAACCCUCCCCAGGCGCUAAUGUCCAAGCUGUCUGCGCAUCGUUAAAUAUUACAGCUAUCACCACCUGAUAAUAAACUUCAUUUGCAUUGCUGCAUUCAUACUAACGAAUUUGACUCACCAGUGGGAUGAUUGCUCAGAAGAUUGUGUGUUCUGGGUCCAACAGUUAUCUUCAAGUGAACAGUGCACAUAUUAUGUUCCAGCUUUACUAGGCAGUGACAGUUGUUCAUCUCGUUGAACAUUCCAUAAAUUUAAUUUUCUCACAGAGAUCAGGCUGCAUCCAUUUGAAAUAUGAAAUAACUUAAAAUAAUUUUGGGCCUUUUGCAAUUGUUAUAGUGUUUAAAUUAGUCAAAAAAAUGUUUCAACUGUAGUUCUUUGCUGUGGAUUCUGAAAUCCAGUAUAAGGCAGCAAAAAGUGUCAUUAAAGCUUGCAAGAGGUGCUUUUGCUUAUGUUUUUUUAAAAUAAAGUUUUGACAAGUUUCAGUAGACUGAACAGGAAAAAGCUAGCACAUUUUUAUGUGGUUAAACAAUUCAAACUACCAUUUCAACUUUGUUUUUCAAAAUAUUCUUGACCUUACUGUUAAAAAUAAAAAUUAUAUUUUCUUAUAUUCACCUGUAUAACAUGAUGCUUCUCUUUGUCUGAGAGUGCAGUUAAUAUGUUAAUAAUUGAGUUUUUAAUACUGUUAUCUAACUGUGGACUGUAACAAAUUUCACCAUUUUGAGGAACAGCUUUUUCUGUUAUGUACUUGUGUGUUUAAAAGUGGUGUGUAUUCUAAUACAAUGUUGUUGAAAAAGUUUGUGCCUGCCCUGUGUUGUAGAUGAAAAGAUAUUUAACUUAUCCAGAGUAAAUUGUAUCAUAACCUAAUCUGGCACAUUGGCGUACAGUUCCUAAAGUUUUCAUAUGACUGAAUAAAUAAAUCCUUUUGAA